rnacentral:rRNA from 1 species
GAGUUUGAUCCUGGCUCAGGACGAACGUUGGCGGUGCGCUUAAUGCAUGCAAGUCGAGAAAGAAGCAGGUGGUCCGUAAGGUCCGGCUGUGGCAACUACGUGCCAGCAGCCGCGGUAAUACGUAGGGAGCAAACGUUGUCCGGAUUUAUUGGGCGUGAAGGGCUCGUAGGCGGUUCAACAAGUCGGUCGUGAAAGCCCGGGGCUCAACCCCGGGAUGCCGGUCGAAACUGUUGUGACUUGAGUUCGGUAGAGGUGAGUGGAAUUCUCGGUGUAGCGGUGGAAUGCGCAGAUAUCGAGAGGAACACCAUUAGCGAAGGCGGCUCACUGGGCCCAUACUGACGCUGAGGAGCGAAAGCGUGGGGAGCAAACAGGAUUAGAUACCCUGGUAGUC